rnacentral:rRNA from 1 species
GAUGAACGCUGGCGGCGUGCCUAAUACAUGCAAGUCGAGCGAACAGACGAGGAGCUUGCUCCUCUGACGUUAGCGGCGGACGGGUGAGUAACACGUGGAUAACCUACCUAUAAGACUGGGAUAACUUCGGGAAACCGGAGCUAAUACCGGAUAAUAUAUUGAACCGCAUGGUUCAAUAGUGAAAGACGGUUUUGCUGUCACUUAUAGAUGGAUCCGCGCCGCAUUAGCUAGUUGGUAAGGUAACGGCUUACCAAGGCAACGAUGCGUAGCCGACCUGAGAGGGUGAUCGGCCACACUGGAACUGAGACACGGUCCAGACUCCUACGGGAGGCAGCAGUAGGGAAUCUUCCGCAAUGGGCGAAAGCCUGACGGAGCAACGCCGCGUGAGUGAUGAAGGUCUUCGGAUCGUAAAACUCUUUUAUUGGGGAAGAACAAAUGUGUAAGUAACUAUGCCCGUCUUGACGGUACCUAAUCAGAAAGCCCCGGCUAACUACGUG